GAUGAACGCUGGCGGCGUGCCUAAUACAUGCAAGUCGAGCGAACAGACGAGGAGCUUGCUCCUCUGACGUUAGCGGCGGACGGGUGAGUAACACGUGGAUAACCUACCUAUAUGACUGGGAUAACUUCGGGUAACCGGAGCUAAUACCGGAUAAUAUAUUGAACCGCAUGGUUCAAUAGUGAAAGACGGUUUUGCUGUCACUUAUAGAUGGAUCCGCGCCGCAUUAGCUAGUUGGUAAGGUAACGGCUUACCAAGGCGACGAUGCGUAGCCGACCUGAGAGGGUGAUCGGCCACACUGGAACUGAGACACGGUCCAGACUCCUACGGGAGGCAGCAGUAGGGAAUCUUCCGCAAUGGGCGAAAGCCUGACGGAGCAACGCCGCGUGAGUGAUGAAGGUCUUCGGAUCGUAAAACUCUGUUAUUAGGGAAGAACAAAUGUGUAAGUAACUAUGCACGUCUUGACGGUACCUAAUCAGAAAGCCACGGCUAACUACGUG
rnacentral:rRNA from 1 species